CGCAGAGUUUGAUCAAACUGGUAUACUAGCCGUGCUCUCGGACAUGAGCGGCUUUGGACCCUUACGGAAUAGUUGGGUAUGGAUGGUUAUGGGGAAUAACUAAUGAAAAUCUGACGUAUUGAUCGUGAUGAUUAAUGUGGUUUAACCAUGAUGGUGAUAGUGUUAGCCGUGAAGGUUAACGGUGUUAUUAUCAUGUACUCAUUUGGGCUAAUUGGGAGCUUAAGCAUAAUUGAUGAUUAAAUAGGAUUAAAACAUUGACCAAUUAAAAUGCUAACUGCAGUAGCCAGUGUCUGACCUUUUUGAGCCGCAUAAAAUCCUAUGUUAUGCUUGCGGAGUACGAGAUGUACUCACGCUUGUCUUUAUCUUUCUUUUGGACAAAAUCCCGGAUGGGUAGCAGAUGACAGCUUCUACGAGGAAUUUCCUGAGGACUUCUAGGUUGGCGAUCCCCCAGUCGGUCGUCCCUGUGUUGGAGUUAUCUUUCAUAGCUAGUAUGAGUUUAUUUUCCGUUUGUCGCAGACUUUGAUAUAAUUGUGUUGUAAUAACGUAUUGUAAGGCACUUGUUAUGAUACAUUUGUAAUUUGUCGACUUGUGUGCGCGACUAUUCCUGGGGCGCACAUGAGAUUAUUGUACUCAAAUUUAUCCUUAAAUUUGGGUGUGACAAAAGAUAGAUAGAAAUACUUAUCGGGAUAAAUGGGGGUGCUCUCCCCCAAGCUGAAUUUUGACGUAAUUUCUCUUGAUGUAGCUAGCAGGUGGCAGAGGUGUAUUUGAAAGUCAGCAACAUUCUGACAACGAUUAGAAUGUCCUCCGUCUGCUAGUCUUCUUGAUUCUUAAAUUCUGCGGAGCUCAAAUAGACAACAAAGCUUGUGGAACUGAUUAAGUGUUAGCAUAAAUAUCUAGCCUUUAUCAUGUUGAGACUCCUUGAUAAUUAUUACUCCCUAUUUUUUUAUAUUUUUAUUUUAUAAAGCAGAAAAAGAAAUAUUUAUUUUAUUUUUUAUGCCACCACAGUGAACGUACUUAUGGGUUUUAUGCCACUCAUAUACUCACAUGGGGCUUACUGUUUUUCAAAUUUUAUUUUCUUUUUAGGAUAGUAUGAAUAUGAUUAUCUAAAUAAACUAUUUUAAAAUAAUUGAAAUAAUUGAAAGGGAAAAGAUAACUACCAAGUUUACCUCUUGGCAAGGCGUUCGGUGUUUUUAAGUCCUCCGAACAGGACUCUCCAUUUUUUCAAUUGUCCUGAGGUUUGUUGAGUGGCGUAGUCGGUACUUCCGGCAGCGCCUCCUCUUCUUGUAUAGUUAUCUUCAUUUGCCAUACCUGACUCGGUGCUUCAAUCUCCUCUGGAUAAUUCUGUUUAAACUCUACGUCUUCUGACCUUACAACUUCUCCUUCAUAGUCUGCCAUCCGUCCUUGAUGAUUUGCCUCCUCUGGUUGCGGUUGCGUCGCUUUCUUACCUGCUUAGAUUCUUUAAUGAUAUAGUUAGGGUCAGUAAAAUAACGGCGUACCUUUUCUGAGGGGAAGUGCAUAUGGACUUCUCCGGUUCCAAUGUAGAUUAUUGCCUUAACAGUGCUGAGGAACGGUCUUCCAAGGAUGAUGGGUGGAUCAUACUCGUCUUCUCCCAUGUCAAUAACUUGAAAGUCUGUGUAGACAAAGUGAUCGUCUAUUUUGACUGGGACAUCAGUUACUGUUCCUUUAACUUCUCAAAAUGUCUGAUCUGCAAUCUGGAGCUGAAUGUAUGUUGGUCUUAGUGGCAUGGUCCCGAACAAGAGCCGAUAGGUGACUACGGCCAUUAUGUUGACGCCCGAUCCGGUAUCGCAAAUCGUCUUGUAAAAGCUAUAUCCAUGUAUGGAGCAGUAGAUGUUUGGCAUUCCGGGGUCGUCCUUCUUGGUCAAAAAUGGUGACUUAAGUUGUUGAUCUUGACCUCCAUGAACUACAGUGACCAUCUUAGCUGACUCGGUCCACACUUGCUUGUUCCUGAUUCUCCUAUUGGUCCUUUUUCUUGAUUCACGUCUGGAUUGAUCUGGAAUUUGUGUAGUCUUGUUCUUGAAGAAAAAUGUUUCCUUCCUCCCUUUGACGUAGAAACUGAUCUUGGCAGCACUAGCGUAGAUGAUAGCUCCCGUGGUGUUCAAGAAUGGCCUCCCUAGGAUGAUAGGUGCUCUCUCAUCAUUUCCGGUCUCUACCACUACGAAGUCUGCUGGGGCAUAUAAGGUACCAACUCGGACAAAAGGUUCUUCAAUAUUCCCUUUGGAAAAGUUAUUGUCUGAUCUGCAAACUGCAAACACAUGGUUGUCUCUA
rnacentral:lncRNA from 1 species